GAAAUAUCUCAGGAUUUGACCGUCCGGUGAGUUGCGCUUAUCACUUGCGUAAGGUAUUUCUCUCUUCAUUGUUCAUAUGGAGGGUUUGAAGGCUGAGUCUACCACAACUGUGGGGAUAAAUUGUAACUUUCAGCAAACAGUGAUG
rfam:Carnation Italian ringspot virus genomic sequence for ORF1-5